rnacentral:rRNA from 1 species
GUAUGCAAUCUACCUUUCACAGAGGGAUAGCCCAGAGAAAUUUGGAUUAAUACCUCAUAGUAUAGUACCUUGGCAUCAAGGAACUAUUAAAGAUUUAUCGGUGAAAGAUGAGCAUGCGUCCCAUUAGCUAGAUGGUAAGGUAACGGCUUACCAUGGCUACGAUGGGUAGGGGUCCUGAGAGGGAGAUCCCCCACACUGGUACUGAGACACGGACCAGACUCCUACGGGAGGCAGCAGUGAGGAAUAUUGGUCAAUGGGCGCAAGCCUGAUCCAGCCAUGCCGCGUGCAGGAAGAAGGUCCUAUGGAUUGUAAACUGCUUUUAUACAGGAAGAAACACCUCUACGUGUAGAGACUUGACGGUACUGUAUGAAUAAGGACCGGCUAACUCCGUGCCAGCAGCCGCGGUAAUACGGAGGGUCCAAGCGUUAUCCGGAAUCAUUGGGUUUAAAGGGUCCGUAGGCGGCCAAAUAAGUCAGUGGUGAAAGCCCAUCGCUCAACGAUGGAACGGCCAUUGAUACUGUUUGGCUUGAAUUAUUAGGAAGUAACUAGAAUAUGUAGUGUAGCGGUGAAAUGCUUAGAGAUUACAUGGAAUACCAAUUGCGAAGGCAGG